GGCUCGCCGGACGGCGCCGCGCUGGGUUCCGUAGGGGGCGGCAGCGCCGAGCUUGGUCUGGGCAGCUGGACCCGGCCAGAUGUGGAGAGCGCGGGGUGGCCGAAUCGGUUUGGGGACAGUUGGUGCGGUUCUGGUCUGGGGCGGCCGAAAGUCCCGGGACCCGUCUGAGCUUGGAGACCCUGAUCGUGCGGGCCGGGUCCGGAGCGGGGGUCAGGGGCAGUUCUGCAGCGGCUGGAUCCAGUCGGACCUGAGCGUCUCGGGACGCCAGGUGGAUCCGGGGUGACUUUCGGCUUGGAGCACCGCGAGUGGCCGCGUCGAUCGCCUUCGGGCGCUCUAUCUGGGACUCCCGAUCCCACUAUGGCUUAAGGGGUUGGAGAGUGGAGGAGGCUGAGCAGCCUGGUUGGUCGCUGUCAGAGACCAGGGGACAAUUGGAGACCGUGUGCCCAGCCAUCUGAUCUCCCCAGCAUCUCCCAGUAAUGAGGUCUUAGAGGAAGGGCUAGGCAAUGACAUCAAGAAGGGAGCUGGGGAGGGAGAUUUCAUGGGGGGGCUUCUGAAGCCCCAGGGGAGAAACCCCAGGCUGGGCUUGUUGAGAGCUGUUUUAGGGAGGGGGCUUGUGUCUAGAAGGAAAGCCAAGACUUUUUAAUCAUCUCUCUAGGGCCUGAUGACCACUCCUCCAUCAUGGAGGCCAAGCCACCUACUUUUCUUGAGUUUCUUUCCCCAUGGACAGACCCCUCUGAUUCUCUCCUAGUCCUGUUCUGUGCCCUCUUAACUGGGUACAAGUCACCAUGCAGGGCCAGAGGAGGGUAUGUAUCAGUGAUGGUGGCUGCCAGUCUCAGAGAUACAGCCAUUACCACUUCUCUGUGACAAUGCUGUGAAGCCUAAGGGGGCCAAGGUGGGGGCAGGAUGGGACCCCCUGUAGACACGAAGAGUCCCCCAGUGACUCCUCAGGCCCAACCCCUACUUUGCCCAGAGCUGGGGUCCCCUUCUAACACCCCUUUCCUCUUCCCUCACCCCACUAGUAUCUGCCCCGCCUUCCACCAUCACUUGCCUGUCCAGAGUCAAUAAUAAUGAAAUUAUGGCUUGACUGCAUACUCAAAAGUCCUUAGAGACCAUCUUGGAUCCAACCUACCUUUUUGGUCAGGAAUUCCUCUCCUGGAAUGCUCUGCUGGGGCAGUUUCAGUGACAGGGAGCUCACUUCUUGUUGAUCGGCACUUGAUUUAAGGUUUUCAAAAAGGGGAUGAGACUUUGAGGUCAUAUUAUUUACUCUGCCUCCAAGCCCACCCUGACCUGUUACUCAGAAAGAGAACUUUUUUCUCCUUAAAAACUACCAAAGAGAGGCCACCUUGCCUUGGUGACACUUUUCGGAGCCUCACAACCUGAGAAGCCCCCUAAUCUGUCAAGAAGACUCCAGGCUUUGAUGUCAAACAGACAGGAACUUUGAUCAAAUUGUAGCCUCACCCCCGAGUAUCAGUUUCCUUGUCUGCGAAAUGAGAUGGUAAGUCUUAUCUUGCAGGGAUGAUGUGGGGAUUCGGCGAGAUAACCCCUGAGAGUGCUUUGCUCAAAACACAGCUUCGUUUCCUUUCUUGUUCACCCUUAAGCUCACGUUGAGAAGUUCUGCCUGACAUCUAACAUAUCUGUUAGUCUGCAGGAAGGAUUAAAGUUUAUCAUGGUCGUGGGGAGAAGAAGAAGGAGUCAGUGAUACUUACAGAAUCAUUCAUUUGUUCUUCAUUCAAGAAAGGCUUAUGGAAGACUUAGGAUAUACCAAGCCCUGUGCUUGGAAGGAACAAAGUGUCAUAAAAACUGUGUUAAGGAAACGUCUACCAGUCCAUAGAUGUCUGCAUGGACCCUCAGGCUACGUGGCAUGUCUUUGGGAGAGCAAAGAUAUCAGGCCAGGCCAGGGAUCCCUCCUGGCUGGAGAGAUAAGAGAAAGCUUCACUGAGCAGGUGACAGCUGAAUCGGAAAGAACAUCGAGGUGGGGAGAGCUAUGUGGGCAGAGGACCAGACAUGUGAGCACGGGGAAUGCUCUUGGAAAGGCCGGAAUGGGGCUUGCCUGGUACCAGGGCAUGAAAGAGCCAGGACGGAGGAGAGAAAGUGGGCAAGGGACGCUGCUGGUGCCAGGUAGUCAAAGGCUUAGUCUGGCUGAGGAGUUAGAGCUGCACUGUAGAUUGUUGACCCACCACGUGUGGGUGGGGUGGAGGCUGACGGCUGACUGUCAUUUUGGUUUCCCCUAAACACUAGUCCGUGUGCUCAUUCCUGAGGUGGGGUGAUUCAGGGCUGCUAAAGUGUUUAUUCCUUCCGUCUCCUGCUCUCUAUGGGUUUUAAACAAAUCCUGCAUUCCCUCCCUUCAGCAUGGCCAAGUUUCCCCUGGCCUCCGGUUCCUAACGGGGCUCUUUUGGAAAGUGUGUGUGCUGUUUCCUGUUGUCCUGGCUGGAUCUCCCUGACUGUCCCCAGUUCCCCACCCAGGUCUCUAACCCCUUGGCCAGGAGUCAGCGCUGUUCCUAAGGGCCUCAAAUGGACCCCCCCCCUCCGCCCAGUGUAGCUUUGGGGUGAGGGUUCUGAGGACACCUUUUAUAUCUUCCGUCUUCAGUUGUCCUCAUACCACCCAGCAGCAGGCACAGAGAGGUAAAGGAGAUUGCCCAGGGUCACACAGCAGGAUAGUGCCAGAGCAGCCACAGACCUCCUAGAUGUUUGGAGGGUUACCAGGCAGAUAGGUUGGGGUGAAGGAGGCCCAGCCCAGUGUUCCCAGUCUGCUGUUUGUGGCACCUUGAGAAUGUUCCUUCACAUUCCAAACUGAUGACUGAGCUUAAAGCCACGGCUGAGGGGUGGGAAUCAUCUUUACUGUAAGUUGCUGAGUUGAAGACAGGGUCCAGCGCCUAGGUUUGAAUGCUGCAUGUUGUGUGACCUCAGAUUAGCUGUUCCCUCUCUCGGUACUUCCUUUCUUCCCAAGUGGGGCGGAUUCGCUCCCUUCUUGGGAUAUCAUGAGGAUACAACAACCUAGGAUAGAGUGUAGAAACACAGACUAUUAAGAACUUAAAGGAACAUUUGAUUUGAAGAUGGGAGGCCAGCCACAUGGCCCCUGACAGUCUGUGUGGGGUUCCCAGAGCAUAGGAGUGCCUUUCCCUGGGCAGCCAGCGUCUGUGCUGGUAACUGGGUUACUCACGUUUCCUUGCAUUGCUGCGAUUUUUGGUAAACAGGCAUAUUGUUAACUUUUGUUAAAGUGUUAACUUCUGUUAAAUACAUUGUUUCCCAGAAAGAAUUGGAGAGACCAGGCCCUGUCAGUGGAGGAACAGGAUUUGAGGGGUAAGGAGGCGGUAGUUCCAGGCACUAGCCAAUAUGACUAGCUUGGCUAAAGUCCACACUUUGAGGGAGGAACCAUCAGCAGCCAUUCACGACCUUUUAUGUUUCCUCUCAGUUUUUUCUUUUUAGUUAAUUAGGUAAACACCCCUGCCGUAGUCAAAGUGCUUCAUUCAUUCAUUCAUUCAUUCAUUCACCAAACAAGUCUGCCUGGCACAAUAUAAAGCUUUGGGGCUGCGGUCAGUUCAAAUGAGACCAAUAGGUCUCUUUUCCAGUCCGGCAGACAGGCAGAUAUGGAGCAGGAAGUUACAAGUGCAAUUGCUGUUGCCAAGGAGACACACAGGGUGCCAUGGAGCAGAUAAGGGAACCUGGCCUGGGGAUCGGAAAAGGCUCUCUGAGGACGUGAUGUUAAAACUAUGGCCUAAAGAGUGAAUGGGACUAGGAGGAACAUUCCAGGCAGAGGGAGCAGUUAUGUGCAAGAUGGGAUAGAACAUGGUGCGUUUGGGAAUUAAUUUGUCUGGAGGCUCGGAAGACAGGGCUUGGGAGGUGGCCAGGGGCAGGCGUGCGCAGGGAAGGUCACGUUCAAGAUUUGGGAUUCCAUCCUCAGGGCAAGGGAGAGCCGCUCAGGAGUUCAGAGUGAGGGGAGUGACAUGGACGAUUUGCAUUUUGAGAUGAUCAUACAGGCUGCUUUGAGAAGAAUGGGGAGCGGGGUGAGGCUAGAGGCUGGGGAACCAGUUAGGAGGCUGCUGGAGUGGCUCUGGGAGAGACGAUGGUGGUGGCCUGGACACCACACCCAGAAUGGGCAGUGAAGAGAGGAGGAGUCUGUGGUCCCAGAGGUCCCACAGAGCCCCUUUCCCUGUGGAUACUGACAUUCCUUCCUGUAUCCUCAUAUAUAUAUAACCAGCAGAACUCAUGGCCUCAAGAAACUUCAGUCUAAUCGAAGAGAAAGGCCAAGUUCCCAAACGCCUCUGAAAUGAGGUAGAAAAUGGUGGGAAGACUGAGGGACGACACGAACAUCUAGCAUUUGCCUGGCACUUAAAUGUGACUUCUUUGAUCUUCACAUCAACCCCAGGAAGUAGGUUUACCCCGUUACAGCAUUGUGAAAGUGGAGGCCCAAAAAUUACUUAAGGAGUUAGAGUCUGGAACUAGGCGGCAGCCCCUGCUUCCUCAAGAUACUGGCUUCAGUUCCAAGCUGCCACUCAAUUUAGCAGAAACUCUGCCUUCCUGGGAAGGAUCCCAGAAGUUGGGGAUGAAGCUUAGGCAGUUGGCCAGAGGUCUUGGUUGCUGAUCGGGGCUCGACAUCAGCCAGGCUGAAAUAUUGAUUUUUUUUUUUCAAGUCUUUCACCUUUGCAUAGCACUUGACAGUAAAGUCCUUUCCUCUCCAUCCACCAGCUCUUCUUGGGGUCAGUUACUAGCAGAGCUAGGAUUUAAACCGAGGCCUGUGACUCAGUGCAGACCCCCAGCUUCCCACAGGCCCCGGCCCAAGUCUCCAGUGGCCCCCUGUCUGGCGAUGAUGUCCCUGACUUCCUGACCACAUGCCCCUCUGAGCAGGAGGAUCAGCCCCUGGCCCAGAAACCUCCUCUCUCCCAUCCUCCUCCCCAUGUGCUCCUUGCUUCCUUGGAAGGAGAGGCCUGGAGGCGAGCCAGGAGGAGUAGGGUUACAGUGUAAACACCGAAGGAGUAGGGUUACAGUGUAAACACCGUCAUGUCAAUAUUUACCUCUGCUUGGAACCAGAGCCUUCCGCCUCCCUGCCUGCCUCCCACUCACUGCCCGUCCAGGUGCACGUGGCCUGCUCUGCUGCUCUGAUCUGGUCAUUGAAAGCAAGGCCAAGGGUGAAGAUCUAGCUUCUGUCCCAAACCCUGCCGUUAACAUUUCACGUGACCCAGAACAAGACAUUCUCCCUUCCGGGCCUCAGUUUUCCCAUCUAUAAAAUGGCAUGGCUAGAACAGACCAACUUAAGGGGCCUUUUUAGCAAUGUCAGGUAGAAUGACAAGCAUAAUUCUCAGGCUCAGAGCUCGGGCUGCAAGUUGGGCAGACCUGGGUUUCAAUCCCAAGUCUACCACUUCCUCACUGUGUGACUGUGAGCAAGUAACUUAACUGCUUUGAGCUUCAGUUUCUUCAUCUAUAAAAUGAGAUCCUAGUGGUACCUAUUUUGGAGAUUUGUCAGUGAAGAUUAAUGCAAUAACUCUACACAGCUCUUGUCACAGGAUAAGAACUGAAUAAAUAGUGGUGGUGGUUAUUCCAAAUAAACAUGUUAUGGUUCCCUGAA